GACGGAGGAUGCAAGUGUUAUCCGGAAUCACUGGGCGUAAAGCGUCUGUAGGUGGUCAAAUAAGUCAACUGUUAAAUCUUGAGGCUCAACCUCAAAAUCGCAGUCGAAACUAUUAGACUAGAGUAUAGUAGGGGUAAAGGGAAUUUCCGGUGGAGCGGUGAAAUGCAUAGAGAUCGGAAAGAACACCAACGGCGAAAGCACUCUGCUGGGCCGACACUGACACUGAGAGACGAAAGCUAGGGGAGCGAAUGGG
rnacentral:rRNA from 1 species